rnacentral:rRNA from 1 species
UACGAAGGGGGCAAGCGUUGUUCGGAAUUACUGGGCGUAAAGGGCGCGCAGGCGGCCUGCCAAGUCAGAUGUGAAAGCCCCGGGCUCAACCUGGGAAUAGCAUUUGGGACUGGUGGGCUAGAGAUCGGGAGAGGAGAGUGGAAUUCCCGGUGUAGCGGUGAAAUGCGCAGAUAUCGGGAAGAACACCCGUGGCGAAGGCGGCUCUCUGGGACGGUACUGACGCUGAGACGCGAAAGCGUGGGGAGCGAACAGG